AGAGUUUGAUCCUGGCUCAGACUGAACGCUGGCGGCAUGCCUUACACAUGCAAGUCGAACGGUAACAGGUCUUCGGAUGCUGACGAGUGGCGAACGGGUGAGUAAUACAUCGGAACGUGCCCGAGAGUGGGGGAUAACGAAGCGAAAGCUUUGCUAAUACCGCAUACGAUCUCAGGAUGAAAGCAGGGGACCGCAAGGCCUUGCGCUCACGGAGCGGCCGAUGGCAGAUUAGGUAGUUGGUGGGAUAAAAGCUUACCAAGCCGACGAUCUGUAGCUGGUCUGAGAGGACGACCAGCCACACUGGGACUGAGACACGGCCCAGACUCCUACGGGAGGCAGCAGUGGGGAAUUUUGGACAAUGGGCGCAAGCCUGAUCCAGCCAUGCCGCGUGCAGGAUGAAGGCCUUCGGGUUGUAAACUGCUUUUGUACGGAACGAAAAGGCUCUGGUUAAUACCUGGGGUCCAUGACGGUACCGUAAGAAUAAGCACCGGCUAACUACGUGCCAGCAGCCGCGGUAAUACGUAGGGUGCGAGCGUUAAUCGGAAUUACUGGGCGUAAAGCGUGCGCAGGCGGUUAUAUAAGACAGAUGUGAAAUCCCCGGGCUCAACCUGGGAACUGCAUUUGUGACUGUAUAGCUAGAGUACGGCAGAGGGGGAUGGAAUUCCGCGUGUAGCAGUGAAAUGCGUAGAUAUGCGGAGGAACACCGAUGGCGAAGGCAAUCCCCUGGGCCUGUACUGACGCUCAUGCACGAAAGCGUGGGGAGCAAAC
rnacentral:rRNA from 1 species